rnacentral:rRNA from 1 species
GUAGUCCAUGCCGUAAACGUUGGGCGCUAGGUGUGGGGCUCAUUCCACGAGUUCUGUGCCGCAGCUAACGCAUUAAGCGCCCCGCCUGGGGAGUACGGCCGCAAGGCUAAAACUCAAAGGAAUUGACGGGGGCCCGCACAAGCGGCGGAGCAUGCGGAUUAAUUCGAUGCAACGCGAAGAACCUUACCAAGGCUUGACAUACACCGGAAAAGUGCAGAGAUGUGCUCCCCGCAAGGUCGGUGUACAGGUGGUGCAUGGUUGUCGUCAGCUCGUGUCGUGAGAUGUUGGGUUAAGUCCCGCAACGAGCGCAACCCUCGUUCCAUGUUGCCAGCAAUUCGGUUGGGGACUCAUGGGAGACUGCCGGGGUCAACUCGGA